ACGAACGCUGGCGGCGUGCCUAAUACAUGCAAGUCGAGCGAAGUUUUUUUGGUGCUUGCACCGGAAAAACUUAGCGGCGAACGGGUGAGUAACACGUAAAGAACCUGCCUCAUAGACUGGGACAACUAUUGGAAACGAUAGCUAAUACCGGAUAAUAGCAUUAACUGCAUGGUUGAUGUUUAAAAGUUGGUUUUGCUAACACUAUGAGAUGGCUUUGCGGUGCAUUAGCUAGUUGGUGGGGUAAAGGCCUACCAAGGCGACGAUGCAUAGCCGACCUGAGAGGGUGAUCGGCCACACUGGGACUGAGACACGGCCCAGACUCCUACGGGAGGCAGCAGUAGGGAAUCUUCCGCAAUGGGCGAAAGCCUGACGGAGCAACGCCGCGUGAGUGAAGAAGGAUUUCGGUUCGUAAAGCUCUGUUGUUAGGGAAGAAUGAUUGUGUAGUAACUAUACACAGUAGAGACGGUACCUAACCAGAAAGCCACGGCUAACUACGUG
rnacentral:rRNA from 1 species